UGGGGAAUAUUGCACAAUGGGCGCAAGCCUGAUGCAGCCAUGCCGCGUGUGUGAAGAAGGCCUUCGGGUUGUAAAGCACUUUCAGCGGGGAGGAAGGCGUUAAGGUUAAUAACCUUGGCGAUUGACGUUACCCGCAGAAGAAGCACCGGCUAACUCCGUGCCAGCAGCCGCGGUAAUACGGAGGGUGCAAGCGUUAAUCGGAAUUACUGGGCGUAAAGCGCACGCAGGCGGUCUGUCAAGUCGGAUGUGAAAUCCCCGGGCUCAACCUGGGAACUGCAUUCGAAAAUGGCAGGCUAGAGUCUUGUAGAGGGGGGUAGAAUUCCAGGUGUAGCGGUGAAGUGCGUAGAGAUCUGGAGGAAUACCGGUGGCGAAGGCGGCCCCCUGGACAAAGACUGACGCUCAGGUGCGAAAGCGUGGGGAGCAAACAGG
rnacentral:rRNA from 1 species